GUGCUCGAUUCAGCAGUACAUAUACUAAAAUUGGAACAAUACAGAGAAGACUAGCAUGGCCCAUGCACAAGGAGGGGACACACACACACACACACACACACACACACAAU